GAUGAAGAACGCAGCGAAAUGCGAUACGUAAUGUGAAUUGCAGAAUUCAGUGAAUCAUCGAAUCUUUGAACGCAUAUUGCGCUCUCUGGUAUUCCGGAGAGCAUGUUUGUUUGAGUAUCAGUAAACACCUCAACUCCCUUUUCUUUUUUGAAAUUGGAGCUGGACUUGAGUGAUCCCAACGCUUUCUUCCAAGAAAGUGGCGGGUUGCUUGAAAUGCAGGUGCAGCUGAACUUUUCUCUGAGCUAUAAGCAUAUCUAUUUAGUCUGCCUAAAAAACAGAUUAUUACCUUUGCUGCAGCUAACAUAAAGGAGACUAGUUCUUGUGCUGACUGAUGCAGGAUUCACAGAGACAGCUUCGGCUGACUUUGUAAACUCGAUCUCAAAUCAAGUAAGACUACCCGCUGAACUUAAGCAUAUCAAUAAGCGGAGG
rnacentral:misc_RNA from 1 species